GCCUCUCUGAAGUUUUAAACUUAGAUCACGAGCUGGCACUCAAGAGUAUCCCUGGAAAGGUUGUGUGUAGACUCUGCAUCCUGUCUGUCAAAGAGUUUAAAAAUUACAAGGGAGAUUUAAUGUUGUCAGCCUUGAAGAUGAGAAAAUAAUGAAGCAUGUACCCACAAGUGAAUCACUCUAUGGAGACAUUAGCACAAACAACAAGAAACUUUUAAGUAUAUCAAGAACAGCAAACCCAUGAAGGAAGUGAUGGUUUUUGCAAGCUUUUGAAGAAUAAUAAAUGGUUAUGACAGAUGCACAGUCCACCAAAAGCCUGAAUAAUUUCUUUGAAUAGGUCCCCUCUUCAGAAGGUGUCAGGGAGUUCAUCACGUUGAUCUUACUUGUGUCAGGAACAAGAGUAGCUGUUGCCAUUGCAUUGUCUAAGACUCCAUAAGCAAAACAGGAGAUAAGGAAAGCAAAAAAAAAAAGCCUCCUUGGAAAGAUAAAGAAAGGAAUGCAACAGCUCAGGGAGGAAAAGUGACUGCUGAGGUAAGAUGAGGAAUUACCAGCUUUAAGAAAGAACUGGAAAAAAAUUUGAAAGGUGAACAGAACGGAGGAGUUGUGGAUGCUUUGAACUUGUGAAUGCUUUGAACUUUAAGGAGUUGAAUCUGCAUGAUCUCUGCUGUAGAGCAUCUCCAGUCUCAUGACUCACAGGACAUCUGGCCAACAGACUGGAAGAGAGCCAGCACAGCUGCUCAGACAACGAAAGGACAGAUGUUUCUCUGACAGAAGCUGGCUAUGACUUGGGCCUGUAUGUCACAGGAAAAAUUAUAAAUGAUUGUGUCUGGCAUUGGGGUUUGCACAAAGGCUUUGCAUUGCUGGACAUCCCCAGGGAGAACUGCUGAACACUGAGGAUGGCUCUGAAAGAGGUAAUAAAGCAGCAAGGGAAGGUCUGAGAAAUGAAUCUCCCAAUAAUCCUAACGCUGGAAUGAGGAACUACUGCAUCUCCUGCAAUAGAAGAGACUUGAGGAUGCUCCAUUUGUGAUUAGGAGCGUGGCUGCCAAAUAAAUUACAGCCAUAUGGUCCAACAGACAGAUGGAUUCAAGGCAUGUUAAAGACAGUGUCAGCUACACACCACCAGGUAGCCGAGCAUACAUUAGAAGCAAAUGUUCAAAAGAUGGAUAAAGUAGCAUGCUUGUUGCACCUGGCAGAAUGAAAUAUUGGAGACUGAGUAACAGAGAGUCAAAGGAAAAAAACCACAUACUGACACUUCAGGGGAUGAGAUUUCUUAGAAGUGUCAAGUAGGUCAGCCCCAUCAGCUAAAUCUAAAAAGGGGAAGAAAGGCCAGAAAAAUAUUUCUAUUUUUCGAAUUCAAAUGCAUGGAAAAGAUCAUGAAGCUGAGGAUUUGACUUUCAUUUUUCAGAAAAAUCAAAAUGUAGCCUGACUGGGACAGAGAAAAUGAUAAAUAUCACAGAACCUCUGGCCUUGUUUGAGUGCAAGUACUUUCAAAUUUGUGAUUUCAGGAUUUCCCCUGGUUGCUGGUACAUGUAUACCUGACAAAAUUAACACAUCUGCAAGAAGUUUGGCAGGAAAGGUAAUUGUUCCCAGUAGAAAAGGCACUCUAACAAAGGAGAUGGAAUCCAGGACAUAUUUAAGUAAAAGACAGAUAAAGAGUAGCACAUAUUGGUCAAGGUAUAAAGGCUACAUGAAAAGACACUGGAAAUGUGAAAAUAAAAUUUUAAAAAGUGUGCUUAAACUUUUCCAAUAUUUAACACUCAGGCCACAUGACACAUCUUUUCUGUCUACCCUGAACACAGCUGCUUCAUAUAUGAAGUCUGGCUGAUCCUACUUGUUGGCCAUGGCACUGAGAGGAGCAGGAAACAGGGAACUCAGGCAGAUCAGUAGCAUUAAUGCUGGAGCCCUUACACUGUUGUACACUGUUGUACAAGUAAGUCCUCCUAACUGAACAGAAGCCAAGCCACAGUACUGGGACAGUGAUUCAUAGGAGAUGUGUUGCCUGCCUAGGAAAAAAAUAAAUCAAUCCACAAGAGAAAAGAUCUAAUGUUAUUGAAAGUACUGGAAGGAUGGAAAGUAAAAACAAAAACACAACCCAAAGUCUCUUGUUCUUGGUUGCAAACAGCACUUGCAGCAGAUGCACUGUGAUGGAGACUGUCCUUCCCACUGAGAUCAGAAGGAUUGUGUUGGAUUCAGCUAUGGAUAAAGGGUGGCAAGCACAGACUUGAUGGAAACUAUUCACUUUUAUUCAAGUUCUCAGUUUAAUGAUUGCCUGGUGUGUCAUUUUAAGAUCACUCUGCAGAAGUGUAAGCAAACAGCAUUAGCUUAUGUAUGAAAAGGGUGUGUGAAAAAAAGAUGUGUGUGUUUCAGAAUAACGUGUGAAUCUGAUUUAAUUAAUGACAUCUCUAAUCAAACUGUGUUUACUGACUCAAAUGUAGCAGUUAUUGGAUUUUUUUUUUGUAUAAACCACCUGUGUUUUCUGGUAGAUUAGUCAUUAAAUACUGUACCCAGCAUCAAAAUAUAACCCCAAAUGCAAUAGAUAUUAAAUUGUCUGAUGUCAAAGAAAUAUUAAAACACACAGAUUUUCAAUAACUAUCAGAAAUGCUAUGGAAGUAGCCAGAAUGGCCUUGAUACCAGAGUUGUGUACCACAGUGGUAGAUACUGGAAUGAAUUGGAAGAAGGAAGAAUAUCAAUGGUAUGGUUUUCUUUGGCUGGUCAGUCACCCACAGUUGUUGGAGUCUUGAAUGUCUCUGUCUUGGCCACCAAGAAGUAUUGGCUGCAUUACUGGGCACAUCCCAGUGAGCCUGAAAUGCCAUGGACACCUGCCAUGGUGCUGAUAAUAGUCUCAUUUAUUAAAUGAGGUCUUUCAAGGAAGGUGGGACAAGCAGAUGGUUGCUGACAUGGGUUGCAGUUAGCGUAAAAAUAUUUUUCUUGAGAAUUGUUCUUGAGAAUUUUUCUUGAAAAUUUUUCUCUUGCAAAGUCCAGCAUAGGUGCUGCCAUGUACUGCAUAUGUGACACAAAGAACAGAACAGGAAACUGGGGGGGAAAUGUCCCUAGAAAGACAGAGAAAGCAGUGUAACAGCUGAGAGAGGAAAAGCAACACUAAAGCAAGCCUCAAAACCAAACAUGGGAACAAAGUCAAAAGAUCCAGAAGAAAGAAGCAGUGAACACUUUGAACUCAAAGGAGCUGAAUCCACUUAGAUCCCUGCAGGUGACAAAUGCCAGGCCCCCAGUCCUCCCAGGAUGUUUGAGUAGGAGAUUGGUGAGAUCUGCUACAAAACAGUGCUUGGGUUAUUGCAGUUGUGAAGGUAUUUUGUGAAAUUAAUCUGUCUCUGUCUCAGGUGUGUAGUCCCUGAUAUACAUAUUUUCCAUUUUAGAAACAAAGGCUGAUUCUGCUUUCAAAGCCACUUGAGUCUCUGGAAUAAUACAAAGGAGAGUAAUUAAUAUCAGAACCUGUGCUGCAUCAGUUCUUCUAACUUCAGUGAAAUAAAGAGGAUAUUGAAAGUGUCAUGCGUUUUCAGCACAGAAUGUGUUCAUUUCAACUGAUGUACUGUGAAGGGACAGUUUAUACCAAAAACUACUUAUUAAUUAUUGGAUGAAAAAUUACCUAUUGUAUUGUGUUGUAUUUAAUUCUCUUCUGUCUGCUAUCAGUUUCAAAAUCGCUGAAUAACUCUUGGGGUUAUGCCUCUUCUCAAAUACAUUUGAUAUUAUAUCCAUGAUUAUGUAUUUUUCUCUUUGUUUAACUCAUUAACUUUCUGUUUCGCCUUUUAGACCAUUUUUUUCCCUUGAGCUUGUUCCAGUGUGGCUUUUCUGCAGCUUUGUCUUUGGAAGAUAACUCAGAGUUUUCAGAGUGAAAAUUCAGUUCCAUUGCUUAAAGAAGCCUUGUUAUAUAAGAAAAAAAACCAAAGACUGAUAUACGAACCCUUUUUUCAUCCACUUUGGUUAUUAGACAAGUCUUCUGGGGAUUAUCUCAGUCCAGAGAUUCUUGAACUUCUGCCAGCACCAUGGUACACUUCCAGUGGGUAUAUAUAACUCUUUAAUGCCUAGAAUGCAGCUGGAUGUGUUGGGUUUACAGAUACCCAGAGUCUAAUGCACAUUGUCUGCUGCAACACCGAUUUGUUCUUUUGCCAUAACUCUUACUAGAUUGUUAUACAAUAAAGAGCCAGGUGCCAACAAUCUUAGUGAUGAUGCCCCAGCUAAAUCUGCUUUAGAUGAAAGUGCACCUGCUAGAAGUAUUUCCCAGGACAUGCAAUCAUUUAGCCUAUAAAUUUAAAUAAUGCUUAUUCUCUUGGUUAAAUUACACCUAGCAGUUUAGUCAGAUACAUAAAGAAAAACUGGUACGUAUGCCAAAAAUUAAUAAAUUUGAGUCUCUGAUCACUGAUGCAGAUUUUACAGCCCUGGAACUCUAUGAAUUCCAGUGGAGUUACUUCAGAUUUAUUCCAUUUAAGCAUGAAAAGGUUUGGAAUCACUUGUAAGGAUUUUCUUUUAUUAUCUGGAAAAAUAUUUACAAAGAUGUGUUCUCCUGCUGUUUUAUUGAAUUGUAUGCAGUAGUAAUGGAGAUGUGGCUUCUGUCUUGAGCCCUAGUUUUCAGAUUUUAGGCUGAAAUAACUUUCUAACCAUGUGCUGUUUCAUAGCUAACCAAGUGAAAGGCUCUUGUUGCUGUAGGAAAAUUUUAUUGCCUUUAAUGGAUGCAGAAUUUCCACACUGACUUCACUGAGUAACAACACAGGGUACAAAUCACCAAAGGUAUUCUACCUUUUGUAAGAGCUUUUCUUGAAUAGUUACAACUUAGGUGAGAGUACAGCAUUUAAAGUCUAAGUAAUUCUUCUUGUGACCUGCUAUAACUCAUAUGUUGUUCUUUAGAAAUCAACCCCCUGAAGAGCUUGUUUCUUUCCACUGGAUAUGUGGUACUAAACUAAAUUUAUGUGGUGAAAGUACACAUUUGUGUUAAAAA